rnacentral:rRNA from 1 species
GACAGAGGGUGCAAACGUUGCUCGGAAUUACUGGGCGUAAAGGGCGUGUAGGCGGACAGGAUAGUCAGAUGUGAAAUCCCUGGGCUCAACCCAGGAACUGCAUUUGAAACUCCCUGUCUUGAGUGCUGGAGAGGAAAGCGGAAUUCCUGGUGUAGAGGUGAAAUUCGUAGAUAUCAGGAGGAACACCGGUGGCGAAGGCAGCUCGCUGGGACGGUACUGACGCUGAGACGCGAAAGCGUGGGGAGCAAACAGG